rnacentral:lncRNA from 1 species
GUGAAUCAAACAAUGUGGACAGUCUUUUUCAAUCAUCAAUGGCUCUUUAUCUAAACCAAGUUCACAAAAAUUAAUAGUGAUAUAUAUAAAGCACACACCUUCACUUUGGUAGCAUAUAUAUAAGACUCAUGGUUAUUUCUUAACUCAGCCGUUCUUCUUCUUUACCUUAUUUUGUUCAUGAAACAAUAACAAGUCUUAAGAUUCAGAGAAGCAGCAAUCCAUUACCUUAACGGAUGAAAUGAAUGUCAUCCAUUUAGGAAUUGAUUCUCGUUCCGAGUAGAGUCCAUAAGCUACUGAUACAUGCACUUCUACCUUCAUCUUUACUCUAAAAUAUAAAAUUCAAAAUCCCUAAUCGACCAACAACAAAUUCCCAAAAUUAAAUCAUGAUAAUCUGCAGAAAAGUAGUAGAUUCUUACCAAUUACAAGAUUUCUUGAUCGAAGACUCUCAUUCGAUCCUCAAUCGAUCUCCAAAUUGAUUUCUCUCCACAGCCAUCUGUUUUGUCUUAAGAGAGAGAUGGUAAAAGAAAAGAAACGCUGGAGAUUUUUUUUUUUUUGUGGCCAAAAAUACAAACCAAUUACAGAGUGACACGUCAUCGUCU